ACUUAAAUAGUUUAAUUAAAAUAAAAGACUGUGGUUCUUUUGAUGUAUGAUUUACUUUAGGUA
rnacentral:tRNA from 1 species